rnacentral:rRNA from 1 species
GGGCUGCAGUAUUUUGACUGUACAAAGGUAGCAUAAUCAAUAGUCUCUUAAUUGGUGACUUGUAUGAAAGAUUGGAUGAGAUAUAAACUGUCUCUAAUUAAUUUAUAGAAAUUAAUUUUUUAGUUAAAAAGCUAAAAUAAUUUUAAAAGACGAGAAGACCCUAUAGAGUUUAAUAAUUUAUUUAAUUAUUAUUAUUAUAUAAUUUUUAAAAUUAAAAUUGAAUAAAUUAUUUUGUUGGGGUGAUAAAAAAAUUAAAUUAACUUUUUUUAUUUUUUUUUACAUUAAUUUAUGAAUAAAUGAUCCAAUAAUAGUGAUAAUAAGAAAAAAUUACCUUAGGGAUAACAGCGUAAUUUUUUUUUUUAGUUCAAAUAGGAAAAAAAGUUUGCGACCUCGAUGUUGGAUUAA